rnacentral:rRNA from 1 species
AUUGAACGCUGGCGGCAUGCCUUACACAUGCAAGUCGCACGAGAAAGUCUGCCUUCGGGCGGGCGAGUAAAGUGGCGCACGGGUGAGUAACGCGUAGGUAAUCUACCCCCGGAACGGGGAUAACAGUGCGAAAGUGCUGCUAAUACCGGAUACGAUCUUUUGGCGGGAGCUGAAAGGUGAAAGUCGGCCUCUCGAAGAAGCCGGUGCUCGGGGAUGAGCCUGCGUCCUAUCAGCUAGUUGGCAGGGUAACGGCCGACCAAGGCGACGACGGGUAGCUGGUCUGAGAGGAUGGUCAGCCGCACUGGCACUGAAACCCGGGCCAGACUCCUACGGGAGGCAGCAGUGAGGAAUUUUGCGCAAUGGGAGCAAUCCUGACGCAGCAACGCCGCGUGGGUGAUGAAGGCCGUCGGGUCGUAAAGCCCUGUCAGGUGGGAAGAAUGUCCCGGGACUGAACAGGUUUCGGGAGUGACGGUACCACCAGAGGAAGCACCGGCUAACUCCGUGCCAGCCGCCGCAGUAAGAC